UUGCAGGUUGGACUAAAUACCUGCUAAACGGGGCAAGGGGGUUGAUUCGGUGUAGUAUGUCUCUCUUAUCAUUGUUUUAACCCAACUGAAAUUGUCUUAAAAUUGCCAAUAUUUCAAAUUCAAGCUCGAAAUUGAUAAAAAUACACCCAUAAGGCUUUAUAUUAUUAAAAGAGCUAAAUGAACGGGUCAUUAAUGAGCAACUGAUCAUUCACAUUGAUAUAUUUUUUAUUCUCUCCUGACAGCUUUCAGAACAACAUAUAUAUGUUAAAAUACACUGUGAGGGUGAUGGAUGACCCUUGGAAAAAGCCCGUGAUGAGAUCAAAUAUGUCCGUCCAGCUUUAAUGAUCAUCCCAAAAGCAUCUGACUGCCUGCCCUUUGAUCGUCAUAGACAAGCUUAAUGAAAAAAGGAGCUUUUAUUUCCAGUUCACCAGUUUCUGUUUAAGUUUGCUUAUGUUAUGUAUGUUUGUUAUUCAUGUCAGAGAAUAGCCCAUUGAACUUAUCUUUCUUGUUAUCAUAAACCCGACUUUAAAUAAAGUUUCUUGUAUGAUUGAUCUGAUUUUAUACCUUAAUGUUUACCCCAUGUCACGUGCCGAUUAAGUUAAGUUUAUAUGAAUUUAAUUGAUGUGUAUGCGAUUGGAUCUUAAGUGCAAAUGGUCUCUUUCAGGAAGGCCAAUACGCCCAGAUGUUCAACACUGAAUCAUUGAACUGGAAGUAACAUGAGAAAUGCCUGCAACAAUGUUUAUCCAGCUUGUCAGUUAUGCCAAGACUUUUCGCAAUGAAAAAGGCUUUUGCUGGAAGGAUUUUACCCUGUUAUGUUCAGCAUUUAUAAUUAUAACUGUAGUUUAUUUCCGUCAAAGGAUUGCUUCUAACGACUUCCUCUGUAUUAAAAAAGAUUUAAAAUUUACAAUAUUCUAUACCUGUGUUACACACUUGAACGUGGAUUAUCACACUAUGUUAACAGAACUAUUGAGCAUAUUCUUUGAUUUCCAUGUAUUAUGAACGAGAAUGACCAAACACAACUAAUGAAUGGUAGAAAAUUUGUCAUGAUAAUAUGUAAAACACUGUAAAUUUUACCUGGCUUGUACUUAAUAUUAAUUUAACUGUUAAUUCAUCUGAAUAUGUAUCUUGUUUGAAUAAGUGAGAUGUAUUUAGAACGCUUAUAGGCUGAUGAACGCCCUCUUAUUAUCCUGUAUUACAUAUGUAAUCUGCAUUACAUGUAUUUACAACUUUUCUCAUACUGUAUGUUUUGCGUGAACAAUAAAACUGUUACAGCA